rnacentral:rRNA from 1 species
AACGAACGCUGGCGGCAGGCCUAACACAUGCAAGUCGAGCGAGGUAGCAAUACCUAGCGGCGGACGGGUGAGUAACGCGUGGGAACGUGCCCCUUGGUACGGAAUAGCCCCGGGAAACUGGGAGUAAUACCGUAUGAGCUCUACGGAGGAAAGAUUUAUCGCCAAGGGAUCGGCCCGCGUUGGAUUAGGUAGUUGGUGGGGUAAUGGCCUACCAAGCCGACGAUCCAUAGCUGGUUUGAGAGGAUGAUCAGCCACACUGGGACUGAGACACGGCCCAGACUCCUACGGGAGGCAGCAGUGGGGAAUCUUAGACAAUGGGGGAAACCCUGAUCUAGCCAUGCCGCGUGAUCGAUGAAGGCCUUAGGGUUGUAAAGAUCUUUCAGUGGGGAAGAUAAUGACUGUACCCACAGAAGAAGCCCCGGCUAACUCCGUG